rnacentral:rRNA from 1 species
UACGGGGGGGGCAAGCGUUGUUCGGAAUUAUUGGGCGUAAAGAGCUCGUAGGCGGUUUGUCACGUCGGAUGUGAAAACCCGAGGCUUAACCUCGGGCCUGCAUUCGAUACGGGCUGACUAGAGUUCGGUAGGGGAGACUGGAAUUCCUGGUGUAGCGGUGAAAUGCGCAGAUAUCAGGAGGAACACCGGUGGCGAAGGCGGGUCUCUGGGCCGAUACUGACGCUGAGGAGCGAAAGCGUGGGGAGCGAACAGG